UACGGGGGGGGCAAGCGUUGUUCGGAAUUACUGGGCGUAAAGGGCUCGUAGGUGGCCAACUAAGUCGGACGUGAAAUCCCUCGGCUUAACCGGGGAACUGCGUCUGAUACUGGAUGGCUUGAGUUCGGGAGAGGGAUGCGGAAUUCCAGGUGUAGCGGUGAAAUGCGUAGAUAUCUGGAGGAACACCGGUGGCGAAGGCGGUUCUCUGGGAAUGUCCUGACGCUGAGGAGCGAAAGUGUGGGGAGCGAACAGG
rnacentral:rRNA from 1 species